AAUACGCUCUCGGCGGAAUGAAAAGCGCAAUUUAUUUAAAACGGACUGCGCGGCGUCUUAAAUGCAAACGAUGACCUUCCCUCCAGGAAGCCGGACGCCUGGCCAUUCUUUCCCGAUGCACCAUCGCAACGCAAUGAAACACAAAGAUCUAGUGAAACAUACGGCAAUUCAAGGCCCCCGCGCCUGCGGCUGCAUGCCAAACGCCGGCAACCGUCGUGCGCACUGGGAACCAGGGUCAGCGCGCAGUACUGCUGAACGGGCCUACGGUACUUCGGGUCCUUGGACCGCCUCCAGCACCAGGCGAGCCCCCGAUACCCGGUACCAACACCGCGGAAAGAGCCACGCGGGGGCGGCAGCAGCCUCGGAUGCGUCAGUCCUUGCCGCACUUGAUCGACCCUCGACGACGCCUUGGCAUCCCGAAUGCAUGGCCACGGCCAAGGUGAAGCAGCUAGGGCCUGUGGCUUGGUUGCCCAGGACGGAGGCCGGAGGAAUAAGGAUGCAGUCAAAUGGCAGAAUAGCUAAUAGCUGGACUCUGUCAACAGGUCAAUUUCUGCUUCAACGCGCGAGCCUUCCUGCUUCUACCACAGUUACUGGAUGGUGGCGUGCUAUGAUGCCUCUCACGUCUUAGGUCUUACCCGCCGGUGUUGUGGACGGGGAAAGGACUAAGGUGACUGGAAGCCAGCGGUCGUAAAUGUAACGUGGUCUUCGGGCUUCGUCGCUUGAGUCUGUAACUAGCAACUGACACCGGCGCCCGCGCCCGCUAGACGCCCUGUUACAAGAAGACAGCACAGAAGCAGGGCCUGCGGAUGAAGGACACCGCGUUUCAUGGCUUUAAUUUACUGCUGCUAUGCUCGUGGAGGCCAUGUAAUGCUUCAACAGCCCCACCGACCAUAGAGGUUGCGCCCGGCGAGGCACGUCGAGGCGUGUCCGCAUGCCGACAGCGAAGCGGUUGCAACAUUAGGGCACCUGAGUGCGCUGCACUCAGCUGCGGCCUUUGACAAAGGAUUGGCCCGCCCAUCGCGAAAGGAACGCAUCCGCCACAAGGCGCACCUGUAGGCUCGCACCCCCUCCAGCAGCAUUGCAAGUGUGCGGAUUAGCGUACUGCGAUCCUCGCCCCUGAAUUAGAAUCCGCAGGGACACGCCGGCAGCGAUUAACACGUAUGAACUGCAGGUUGCAAGCUCCAUUGUGGGUUAGAGCUGCAUGGCAUCCUCCCGAUGCCAGCAACAACGGCGCAGGUUCCGCCCCCAGGUUCCGCGAUCCAGCCUGCUUCCCCCCUCGCACCUUACAAGGCUAUUGAUUUCCUCCACCACAAUGGCCGAGUAAGCCCCUUCCAGCAGGUGCAGGCAGGACGCGAAGCGCUGCAGGUCCCCGGGGGUGUUGAUGUAC
rnacentral:lncRNA from 1 species